UACGGAGGGUGCAAGCGUUAUCCGGAUUCACUGGGUUUAAAGGGUGUGUAGGCGGGGAUUUAAGUCAGUGGUGAAAUCUCCGGGCUCAACCCGGAAACUGCCAUUGAUACUAUUUAUCUUGAAUUCUGCUGAGGUAGGCGGAAUAUAUCAUGUAGCGGUGAAAUGCUUAGAUAUGAUAUAGAACACCGAUUGCGAAGGCAGCUUACUAAACAGAUAUUGACGCUGAGGCACGAAAGCGUGGGGAUCAAACAGG
rnacentral:rRNA from 1 species